UUACAGAUGGACCCCGCGGCGCAUUAGCUAGUUGGUGGGGUAAUGGCUCACCAAGGCGNCGAUGCGUAGCCGACCUGAGAGGGUGAUCGGCCACACUGGGACUGAGACACGGCCCAGACUCCUACGGGAGGCAGCAGUAGGGAAUCUUCCGCAAUGGACGAAAGUCUGACGGAGCAACGCCGCGUGAGUGAUGAAGGUUUUCGGAUCGUAAAGCUCUGUUGUUAGGGAAGAACAAGUGCGAGAGUAACUGCUCGCACCUUGACGGUACCUAACCAGAAAGCCACGGCUAACUACGUGCCAGCAGCCGCGGUAAUACGUAGGUGGCAAGCGUUGUCCGGAAUUAUUGGGCGUAAAGGGCUCGCAGGCGGUUUCUUAAGUCUGAUGUGAAAGCCCCCGGCUCAACCGGGGAGGGUCAUUGGAAACUGGGAAACUUGAGUGCAGAAGAGGAGAGUGGAAUUCCACGUGUAGCGGUGAAAUGCGUAGAGAUGUGGAGGAACACCAGUGGCGAAGGCGACUCCUCUGGUCUGUAACUGACGCUGAGGAGCGAAAGCGUGGGGAGCGAACAGGAUUAGAUACCCUGGUAGUCCACGCCGUAAACGAUGAGUGCUAAGUGUUAGGGGGUUUCCGCCCCUUAGUGCUGCAGCUAACGCCAUUAAGCACUCCGCCUGGGGAGUACGGUCGCAAGACUGAAACUCAAAGGAAUUGACGGGGGCCCGCACAAGCGGUGGANCAUGUGGUUUAAUUCNAAACAACGCGAAAA
rnacentral:rRNA from 1 species